UGCAGAAGCAAUCCCUAGGAUUGUGUGAUUUGGUCACAACGAAUCAGAAAAACAGAGGAAAGGGGGAAGAAUAUAGAGAGGGACAGGGAGAGGGGACGAGAGAGAAUUUAGAGAGAGAGAAAUUGCAUUCAUUAAUCUUGAUUGGAUUCAAUUACAGCCCAAAGAGUUCUAUUUAUCUAGUAAUUCUCUUGACUAAUCUAGCAUACUGUGAUUCUUAGUCACAACACUGCAGUGCUCUCCUCUUGUACACACCUUUGAUGAAUUUCAACAUCUCUUAGGAGAAAGGAAUUUUCUUUCCUAAUUCUACUAGAGUGCAAAAUUUCCCUCUGAACAACAGUAGCACAUUUAAGUCAUGAGAGACCACAGUAGCAUGGAUAAUGUAAGAACUGCUAAUCAACCCCUCAAAGAACAUACUAUAGCAUGAAACAAGACAGACCAUCUAAGCCUUCAGCUGGAAUAAGCAGCACAUUUGAGCAGGAUUUUCUAGUAAGACAACUUCCCAGUAAACAAACCAAAAUGGCUUUAAUUGCCAGCAGUAUUCCUCUUCUCAUAUUUUGAAAUAACAAAUUAUACAGCCCACCUCAUAUUCAUUCUUCAGUCAAUAUGUGCUUAUAAGCUAAUGCAGAAUGGGAAGAUGAAGAUCUAAUACAAUUUAGAAAUUAUAUUCCA
rnacentral:misc_RNA from 1 species